rnacentral:rRNA from 1 species
GAUGAACGCUGGCGGCGUGCCUAAUACAUGCAAGUCGAGCGAACAGACGAGGAGCUUGCUCCUUUGACGUUAGCGGCGGACGGGUGAGUAACACGUGGGUAACCUACCUAUAAGACUGGGAUAACUUCGGGAAACCGGAGCUAAUACCGGAUAAUAUUUCGAACCGCAUGGUUCGAUAGUGAAAGAUGGCUCUGCUAUCACUUAUAGAUGGACCUGCGCCGUAUUAGCUAGUUGGUAAGGUAACGGCUUACCAAGGCAACGAUACGUAGCCGACCUGAGAGGGUGAUCGGCCACACUGGAACUGAGACACGGUCCAGACUCCUACGGGAGGCAGCAGUAGGGAAUCUUCCGCAAUGGGCGAAAGCCUGACGGAGCAACGCCGCGUGAGUGAUGAAGGUCUUCGGAUCGUAAAACUCUGUUAUUAGGGAAGAACAAAAGUGUAAGUAACUGUGCACGUCUUGACGGUACCUAAUCAGAAAGCCACGGCUAACUACGUG